ensembl:lncRNA
ACUAAACAACAAUUGCCAGAUGAAUAGAUAAACAAAAUAUAGCAAAUAUAUACAAUGGAAUAUAUUCAGCCUUCAAUAAGGAGAGAGAAUUCUGACAUAUGCUUCAACAUGAAUGAACUCUGAAGACACUGCAAGGGAACAUAUUGAAAGAUGGACUCCUGCAACUUCUCAGAAUGCAAGAUACUACACAGGUUCUGCUUGGACCACUGACAACACGCAAGUUAAUUCUCUGAGUAGAGAGCCCUGCUGCUGCUGCUAAGUUGCUUCAGUCAUGUCCGACUCUGUGUGACCCCAUAGAUGGCAGCCCACCAUGCUCCCCAGUCCCUGGGAUUCUCCAGGCAAGAACACCGGAGUGGGUUGCCAUUUCCUUCACCAAUACAUGAGAGUGAAAAGUGAAAGUGAAGUCACUCAGUUGUGUCCAAUUCUUAGCGACCCCAUGGACUGCAGCCCACCAGGCUCCUCCAUCCGUGGGAUUUUCCAGGCAAGAGUACCGGAGUGGGGUGCCAUUGCCUUCUCAGUUCAACAGCCCUAAAAGGCAACAAAGGAUGACAGCAAUCCCUUGAUAGUGGAUGAUUGUGAGAUGCUAGAUCUGGAAGCAACAGGAUGUAUUAUCUAGGACACUUCCCUUCCUACAUUUGCAAGGAACUUAAGUUCAGAGCAGUGAUCUGGUCAAGGUCCUACUUAGCA